UCUUAAAUUGUUUGUUUUUUAAUGAAUUUUAGUUUUGGUGAUACGCAUUUAUGAAAAGGGUGAACUGCUGAAAUAAUAUAUAAGUAAGUAAAUCGAAGUGAGAAUAAUUAAAUAAUAGACACGAUUGGCAAUCUUGCGCCGUAAUGUCGGCAAUGCGUGUUCAUCCUUUAUCUUGUAACUAUACUAUUUUAAAUCAACCUAACUCAGUGAAAAAGAAUGCGAUCCAAUAUAGUAAGAUUAUCUUCUCUUUUUAUGCAACCAAAUUAUGGCUUAAAAACAAAUUUCUAAAUCCUAGAACGAUUCAGCCUAACACCUUACACGUGGUAGGUGAGCUGGCCCAACCAGGUUGCUGACUGGAAACUUAGUCCUCACAAUCCAAUCUCAAAGGUAAUCGGCCAAAUAAAAGAUUACGUUUAUUCGGCUUACAAGUUAGUAGAUUUGAGUUUGUGUAAAUGCGAGUCUGAUUUACUGAUAGUGGUUACACCGCAAAUAUUAACCAAGUUCUGGAAACUUGGUUAAUUGCCUUUCCUAUCCACUUAAUAUGACAAAUUUACAUUAGGGAAAAAAUUUAAAAUGACAGAUCACUUGACUGUGUUGAUUAACUGUAAAAAAACUAAAGCGAUAUAAUUUCGUCAGAUCAAUUGUUACGAUGCGUGGAAAGAAUACUUAAAUGAUGAUGAUAUGUAAUUCUACAAUCUACUAAAGGAUAAGUAGGAAAAAUCCUUAAAACGAUCAAAGUAAGAGACGAAUAUUUCAAUAUUGCUUCCUAUAAACGAUUUUGUGCAUGUAAGAGUAAAUACUGGAUCAAAAGCUGUUC
rnacentral:lncRNA from 1 species